UUCUUAGAUAAUCAAAUUUUAGUUUGGUCAGUUCUGCCCAUUUUGAGCUCCUUUUAGAACAAGCUGUUUUAUGGCCUCUUAUCACUUUAAAUCCAAAUAAGCUGCUGCUGGCCAAGCCCCGAAACUCAACGUUUACACUCAAACAUGAAAAUGGGAUCAAACAGACGAGCAAUUAUAAAACCGUACAUCUUUGAAAAGCUUUAGUUGAGCCUCCUGCACAAACAACAAGAAUGCAGCAAGUGGCUUCUGGAUGGUAAGUCAACAAAAAAUAAAAACUCUUGUGUUUUCCAGCAGCCAUUGUACAGCGCAUACAGAGGUAAAACCGGCUGUCCAAAUAUGCUGGAGCUCCAAUUGCGUUGCUAAACGAGGCUGAGCUCGGCUGGGGUUGCUAGGUAACAGCACAGUGCCUGUCAAGCGUGACUUGAUAAUUGGGAAGGUUUUGAAACGGCUCAUUUUCCAGACACCAAAAAAACUUUAACUUAAUGCUGGAAACAACUAGGUGCUUUUUUUCACCACUUGGGUUGUUUUUAGAAGCAGCUGAGACCCAAAUGUAAAUAUAAAAACUGAGAAUUUUCUGUAAUGGUUCCCUUUAAAUGGCUGUUAUUUAUUCUACCACUAGUUUACCAGCUAUGAUGAGGUUAACUGACCAAUUAUUUUUAAUCAAACGAGAGUUCAGGCACUACAAGCUGUGUGAGGCUGAGCAGUUACAUUAGUUGUUUGCUUUUCUGACUCGUCCAUACAUGAAAGAUAAACUGUACAGACAUUUUUUCUGCCCCCAUCAUUUCAUAUCUACUGCAUCUGCCAGGGUGAAAACAGAUAAGAUAUUACAGACAGAAUGGCUCCGUAAGGUUGUUAAACCUUAAACCUUUCAUAUUAAAACGUUCUACAGCGUUUAUGUUGGACAUGCUGUGUGGAAUGAUUUAUUAAGCCCGUGCAAAAUAUCCAAGACUAUGUAGAUCUGUUUAGGUUACACAAUUCUUCAGUGUUUUAAGGGUUUCUGGUAUUGUUUCAGAGUAAACCGCUAUGUAAACGCUCUAAACUUUCCAGCUGAACUCAGUUUGGACUAAAUAAAACACUGGACCUACAUCAGCUGAUGACACGGCUCCCCACAUCAUCACAGGCUGUGGAAACUUUACCCUGAGCCUCUACGGCAAAAACACAAAAUAUUACAGAGUUUUUCUGGACCAGUUUCUACUGCAAAUAUCUUAGUACACAUGAAAUAAGACAAAACUGACAAGUAACUUUAAAGCACAAUAUAGCAGCUUGUUUUAAGUUAACAAUUCUUUAUUAUCGCUAUUUCCUCAGAGUUGGUGAACAUAAUAAAACUACAGUCAAAAAGUGCAAAACAAAGCAUCAAAUGAAGACUGAGGGAUCAGGGUAAAUUAAUAUCACAAUUAUAGAAACAAUGUAAAUGUUUAAUUGAUUUACUUAUUACUUUUUGUUAAAUUGAAAUUUCUGCAAAAAUGACAAGUCAAGCAACUAAAACAUUCAGUAAACAUAUUUAAAUUUUUGUUUCUGGCAUAAUGAAAAAAGUA